AACGCGUGGGAACAUACACAGCACAGGGGGAUAACCAUUGGAAACGAUGGCUAAUACCGCAUACGCCCUAUUGGGGAAAGAUUUAUCGGUGUUGGAUUGGCCCGCGUUAGAUUAGCUAGUUGGUGGGGUAAUGGCUCACCAAGGCGACGAUUUAUAGCUGGUUUGAGAGGAUGAUCAGCAACACUGGAACUGAGACACGGUCCAGACUCCUACGGGAGGCAGCAGUCGGGAAUAUUGUGCAAUGGGGGCAACCCUGACACAGCCAUGCCGCGUGAGUGAAGAAGGCCUUAGGGUUGUAAAGCUCUUUCAGAUGUGAGGAUGAUGACGAUAGCAUCAGAAGAAGCUCCGGCUAACUUCGUGCCAGCAGCCGCGGUAAUACGAAGGGAGCUAGCGUNGUUCGGAAUUACU
rnacentral:rRNA from 1 species